rnacentral:lncRNA from 1 species
ACUUCUUUCUUAAAUGUAGGCAUUCUCCUUCAAAGUAUAAAGUCUUUGCCAGACUGUACUAAUGUGCCCAUUGACUAAACCUAUAAUCUUUAACUCGUUAUUGAUAGACAGGCUAUUUAAAUUUGAUAGCAUGGUAUGGAUACUACCUGUCCUCUGAAAUUUCUUCCCUUACCAGUCCACUUUUGUUGUUUUAGCUUGGUCUCUGGGCUUAGGAGGACCACCUCUGCUACUUGUGACCUCUGCUGUGUGACCUUGGGCAAGUUAUUUGUCUAUUUUCAGAAUUCUUCAUUUGUAAAACAGAGUUAUUAAUGGAAGCUAUCUUGUGCCCCUCUUGUGCAGAUUAAGACCUUGAUAUACAUGCAUAUAUAUAGAACAGUUUCUGGAUGUAAUUAGGGAUGUAUAACAAGAUUAUUUGUUUUAAAAAAAACUGUGGUAUUACCCUUUCAGCAAGGCAAAAUAUUUGCAAGUGGUACAUGUUAAAUACCAUUGUAAAAUCAGAUCUAAUACCAAAUGUGCAGUGGAGUGAAAAAAUACAAUGUACUUGGCAAACAAGCAGAGAAACUAAGGAAAACAUCUUUACUGACCUUAUGAACUCUAUGAAUUAAGCAGCUCCAGGAGCACAACCUACCUGCUAAGUAAGCCUUGUGGUGCCCUGCUAGGUAGGUCGAGGAGUUGGCCAGAAGGGCGGGCAGCAAGGAGAGUUAGGAGAAGGAAGGAUUGAAUUGCCAGACUGACCUGGAAAGAAGGCGUGAAAGGGUAGCAUUUGGGUCAGGAGGGAAGGCUUUUGGUUGUGGGAAGUUGAAGUGAAUUAUAAAGAUGGGGGCCAUUUAUAUCAGGUAGGUCUGGAUUCUUUGCCCUGUACCAGGGACCAGGCUAACUGACCAACACCACACAGCGAGGAACAGGUAACUGUCCCCAUAGGGUUUAGUGCAAAAAUGUGGAUGUAUUAAAAAUACAAAUAAUUUGUAAUCUACUACUCAACUCUUAGACCCAAAGAAUUGACUCCAUUUAAAAAAUAGAUGAAGUUGGGCAUGGGGGCACACAGCUGCCAUCUUAGAAUUUGGGAGGUGGAAAUAGAAACUUUAGGAGUUCAAAACCAGCCUCACCUACACACUGACUUCUAAGGCAGCUGCCUGGGACUCAAAAGCCAAAAAGGUGUGUGUGUAUUAUCUUUCUCCCACAAAACUAGGAACAUGUGGUAAUUAUGAAAUUUCAUAAUUGAUGAGGUUUUUUCCACGUUAAUAGUAUUUCAGCAUAGUAAACAUGUACCAAUAAAUUUUAAAUGCCCCCAUUUGAUAAAAUACCCUUCCCUCCAAAACACCAUAAUGUACUUUACCUACUUGCUAAAUAAAUCACUCUAGUUUAUAGCUGCCUACCAAAUUUAAGCAUGUUUCCACAUCCAAGGUAAAUUAAUGUGUGUAAACCUACAGAUGCAAAGAUACUUUCCAAAGUGCCAUAUACUCAUUUUAACCAAAUU